rnacentral:rRNA from 1 species
UCAAGCGAAUAAGCGCACACGGUGGAUGCCUUGGCGGUCAGAGGCGAUGAAGGACGUGGCAGCCUGCGAAAAGUAUCGGGGAGCUGGCAACAAGCUUUGAUCCGGUAAUGUCCGAAUGGGGAAACCCACCCGCUUGCGGGUAUCCUGCAGUGAAUACAUAGCUGCUGGAAGCGAACCUGGUGAACUGAAAUAUCUAAGUAACCAGAGGAAAAGAAAUCAACCGAGAUUCCGUAAGUAGCGACGAGCGAACGCGGACUAGCCCUUAAGCUGAUUUGGUUCUAGGAAAACGCUCUGGAAAGAGCGGCCAUAGAAGGUGAUAGCCCUGUAUCUGAAAGGGCCAUUUCAGUGAAGACGAGUAGGGCGGGGCACGUGAAACCCUGUCUGAACAUGGGGGGACCAUCCUCCAAGGCUAAAUACUACUGACCGACCGAUAGUGAACCAGUACCGUGAGGGAAAGGCGAAAAGAACCCCGGAGAGGGGAGUGAAAUAGAACCUGAAACCGUGUGCGUACAAGCAGUAGGAGCUCCGCAAGGAGUGACUGCGUACCUUUUGUAUAAUGGGUCAGCGACUUACUGUUCGUGGCAAGCUUAACCGUAUAGGGGAGGCGAAGGGAAACCGAGUCUGAUAAGGGCGCAUAGUCGCGGGCAGUAGACCCGAAACCGGGUGAUCUAGUCAUGCCCAGGGUGAAGGUGCGGUAACACGCACUGGAGGCCCGAACCCACUCCCGUUGCAAAGGUAGGGGAUGAGGUGUGAUUAGGAGUGAAAAGCUAAUCGAACCCGGAGAUAGCUGGUUCUCCUCGAAAGCUAUUUAGGUAGCGCCUCAUAUGUAUCCUCUCGGGGGUAGAGCACUGUUAUGGCUAGGGGGUCAUCGCGACUUACCAAACCAUUGCAAACUCCGAAUACCGAGACGGACUGUAUGGGAGACACACGGCGGGUGCUAACGUCCGUCGUGAAAAGGGAAACAACCCAGACCCACAGCUAAGGUCCCAAAUUUUGUGCUAAGUGGAAAACCAUGUGGAAAGGCACAGACAGCCAGGAGGUUGGCUUAGAAGCAGCCACCCUUUAAAGAAAGCGUAAUAGCUCACUGGUCGAGUCGGUCUGCGGGGAAGAUUUAACGGGGCUAAGCACAGAACCGAAGCUUGGGGUGCAUAACUUUGUUAUGCGCGGUAGAGGAGCGUUCCGUAAGCCGUUGAAGGUGGAUUGAGAAGUCUGCUGGAGGUAUCGGAAGUGCGAAUGCUGACAUGAGUAACGAUAAUGCGGGUGAAAAGCCCGCACGCCGUAAGCCCAAGGUUUCCUGCGCAACGUUCAUCGACGCAGGGUGAGUCGGGUCCUAAGGCGAGGCCGAAAGGCGUAGUCGAUGGGAAACAGGUCAAUAUUCCUGUACUUCGCAUCAAUGCGAUGGGGGAACGGAGAAGGCUAGGCGAGCCGGGCGACGGUUGUCCCGGUUCAAGCAGGUAGGGAGCUCUUCCAGGCAAAUCCGGAAGGGCAAUCCCGAGACGCGAGUACGAGUGUGUGUUUCGGCAUGCACGAAGCCGCUGAUGCCACGCUUCCAGGAAAAGCCCCUAAGCUUCAGUUGAUGUGGAUCCGUACCGUAAACCGACACAGGUGGGCGAGGAGAGAAUCCUCAGGCGCUUGAGAGAACUCGGGUGAAGGAACUAGGCAAAUUGGUACCGUAACUUCGGGAGAAGGUACGCCCCCACUACGUGACGACCCUCGCGGUCCGAGCGGAAGGGGGCCGCAGUGAAAAGGCUGCUGCGACUGUUUAAUAAAAACACAGCACUCUGCAAACACGAAAGUGGACGUAUAGGGUGUGACGCCUGCCCGGUGCCGGAAGGUUAAUUGAUGGGGUCAGCCGCAAGGCGAAGCUCUUGAUCGAAGCCCCAGUAAACGGCGGCCGUAACUAUAACGGUCCUAAGGUAGCGAAAUUCCUUGUCAGGUAAGUUCUGACCCGCACGAAUGGCGUAACGACUUGGGCGCUGUCUCAACGAGAGACCCGGUGAAAUUGUAAUACCUGUGAAGAUGCAGGUUACCCGCGGCUAGACGGAAAGACCCCGUGGAGCUUGACUGUAGCUUGAUAUGGAGGACGCGCCUGUUCUGUACAGGAUAGGUGGGAGGCGAGGAAGCCCGGGCGUCAGCCUGGGUGGAGCCGGCGUUGGGAUACCACCCUGAAGAGGCGUGUCUUCUCACCUGGGCGUUCGGGAGCGGACGCAGGGACAGUGUCAGGUGGGCAGUUUGACUGGGGCGGUCGCCUCCUAAAAGGUAACGGAGGCGCCCAAAGGUUCCCUCAGACUGGUUGGCAAUCAGUCGUCGAGCGCAAUGGCAGAAGGGAGCUUGACUGCGAGACCGACAGGUCGAGCAGGUGCGAAAGCAGGGCAUAGUGAUCCGGCGGUCGCAUGUGGAAGCGCCGUCGCUCAACGGAUAAAAGGUACCCCGGGGAUAACAGGCUGAUCUUCCCCAAGAGUCCACAUCGACGGGGAGGUUUGGCACCUCGAUGUCGGCUCGUCGCAUCCUGGGGCUGAAGCCGGUCCCAAGGGUUGGGCUGUUCGCCCAUUAAAGCG